AGCAGCCGCGGUAAUUCCAGCUCCAAUAGCGUAUAUUAAAGUUGUUGCAGUUAAAAAGCUCGUAGUUGAAUUUCGGAGUUCUACCGUCGGUCGGGCUACCAAGUCUGUACUGGUGUGUAGAAUUCCUACCUUCUGGGGAACCAUCAUGUUAUUAAUUUAGCGUGGUGGGAAACCAGGACCUUUACCUUGAAAAAAUUAGAGUGUUCAAAGCAGGCUUAUGUCUGAAUACAUUAGCAUGGAAUAAUAGAAUAGGACGGUGGUCCUGUUUUGUUGGUUUCUGAAUCACCGUAAUGAUUAAUAGGGAUAGUUGGGGGCAUUAGUAUUCAAUUGUCAGAGGUGAAAUUCUUGGAUUUAUUGAAGACUAACUUCUGCGAAAGCAUUUGCCAAGGAUGUUUUCAUUAAUCAAGAACGAAAGUUAGGGGAUCGAAGACGAUCAGAUACCGUCGUAGUCUUAACCAUAAACUAUGCCGACUAGGGAUCGGACGAUGUUAAAUUUUAUUGACUCGUUCGGCGCCUUACG
rnacentral:rRNA from 1 species